rnacentral:lncRNA from 1 species
GAUAUGGAUCAUAAAGGCUUGAUAUUAAUAGUGGGCCAAUAAACAUAAAGCCCAUUAUGCAACCAAUCAAAGGUUCGUGUGUAUUACCGAAGUUCGCCCGUGAUCCGUCUCAUUUACCAGAUGGAUAUCCGAUUAAAUAUCCAGGAUCCGCGUCCUUUUGAAUCCCAAAUGUCAAUUAUACCCCUCGACGAAAUUUUUUGUUUUCACUUGAAAUACUAAAUUUGUAAUGGCAUUCCUUUGUAAUUUUUUACCUUUAUUGAGGUUAGUUAUUAAAAAAUGCUUCCCAAUUAAUAGAAUAGAUA